rnacentral:rRNA from 1 species
UCCUACGGGAGGCAGCAGUAGGGAAUCUUCCGCAAUGGACGAAAGUCUGACGGAGCAACGCCGCGUGAGUGAUGAAGGCUUUCGGGUCGUGAAACUCUGUUGUUAGGGAAGAACAAGUGCUAGUUGAAUAAGCUGGCACCUUGACGGUACCUAACCAGAAAGCCACGGCUAACUACGUGCCAGCAGCCGCGGUAAUACGUAGGUGGCAAGCGUUAUCCGGAAUUAUUGGGCGUAAAGCGCGCGCAGGUGGUUUCUUAAGUCUGAUGUGAAAGCCCACGGCUCAACCGUGGAGGGUCAUUGGAAACUGGGAGACUUGAGUGCAGAAGAGGAAAGUGCAAUUCCAUGUGUAGCGGUGAAAUGCGUAGAGAUAUGGAGGAACACCAGUGGCGAAGGCGACUUUCUGGUCUGUAACUGACACUGAGGCGCGAAAGCGUGGGGAGCAAACAGGAUUAGAUACCCUGGUAGUCCACGCCGUAAACGAUGAGUGCUAAGUGUUAGAGGGUUUCCGCCCUUUAGUGCUGAAGUUAACGCAUUAAGCACUCCGCCUGGGGAGUACGGCCGCAAGGCUGAAACUCAAAGGAAUUGACGGA